UUAACACAUGCAAGUCGAACGAUGAACCUCGCUUGCGGGGGGAUUAGUGGCGAACGGGUGAGUAACACGUGAGUAACCUGCCCUUAACUCUGGGAUAAGCCUGGGAAACUGGGUCUAAUACUGGAUAUUGACUUUACCUCGCAUGGGGUUUGGUUGAAAGCUUUUGUGGUUUUGGAUGGACUCGCGGCCUAUCAGCUUGUUGGUGAGGUAAUGGCUCACCAAGGCGACGACGGGUAGCCGGCCUGAGAGGGUGACCGGCCACACUGGGACUGAGACACGGCCCAGACUCCUACGGGAGGCAGCAGUGGGGAAUAUUGCACAAUGGGCGAAAGCCUGAUGCAGCGACGCCGCGUGAGGGAUGACGGCCUUCGGGUUGUAAACCUCUUUCAGUAGGGAACAAGGCUACACGUUGUGUGGUUGAGGGUACCUGCAGAAGAAGCGCCGGCUAACUACGUGCCAGCAGCCGCGGUAAUACGUAGGGCGCAAGCGUUAUCCGGAAUUAUUGGGCGUAAAGAGCUCGUAGGCGGUUUGUCGCGUCUGCCGUGAAAGUCCGGGGCUCAACCCCGGAUCUGCGGUGGGUACGGGCAGACUAGAGUGAUGUAGGGGAGACUGGAAUUCCUGGUGUAGCGGUGAAAUGCGCAGAUAUCAGGAGGAACACCGAUGGCGAAGGCAGGUCUCUGGGCAUUAACUGACGCUGAGGAGCGAAAGCAUGGGGAGCGAACAGGAUUAGAUACCCUGGUAGUCCAUGCCGUAAACGUUGGGC
rnacentral:rRNA from 1 species